rnacentral:rRNA from 1 species
CACGUAGGGGGGCAAGCGUUGUCCGGAUUUAUUGGGCGUAAAGAGCUCGUAGGUGGCUUAGUAAGUCGGGUGUGAAACCUCCAGGCUCAACCUGGAGACGCCACCCGAUACUGCUAUAGCUUGAGUCCGGUAGGGGAGCGUGGAAUUCCUGGUGUAGCGGUGAAAUGCGCAGAUAUCAGGAGGAACACCAGCGGCGAAGGCGGCGCUCUGGCCGGUACUGACACUGAGGAGCGAAAGCAUGGGAGCGAACAGG